ensembl:lncRNA
AACGGGUCAAAUAUGUCUCACUUUUUAACAGCAAACCUUUUAAACGACUUUGUUUGUGAUUAAACAUGUAAUGAAAACAAAACAGUGUUUAACAAUCCAUGAAAUCCAUUAAUUAAACACAAACCAAUUAUUGGGGUCGUAUCGCUUAACCUGUUUGAUGCAAACGCAACAAAUGUUUAAAAUUGUCUCUCUUCUUUGUUGUAGGUCAGACAGACAGACGAACCCAAAACAUGUCAGGGUUGCGGUGUCAUAUGUCGCUGCCCGUGUCGGUGGGGGUCUUGUUGGUGGGCCUCCCUUACUCCAUCUCUCUAGCUGCCCAGUGGCUUUACGGCUGGCCCAGCAAGCCGGGAUACAAGAAGUACAUAGAAGCUCUGAAACCACGGGCAUCACAUUUGGCCGCAGAAACAACAAGCUGGACUUGUACCACCCUCCAAACGUGGACGGGUCAAAGGUGUGCCGGCGCCGCUGGUGGUGUUUCAUCUACGGGGGGAGCGUGGGGCUCCGGAGAUCGAUCCAUUUACUGUUUGAUGGCGAGGCAGAUGGCGAAAGAACUGAGUGCAACUGUCAUUUGUCCUGAUUACUUUGUCUAUCCGAAGGCGAACGUUUUAGGCAUGAUCCAAGAUAUUGUGGACUGCCUCAUUUGGGCCCGAGAGAGUGGACAGAAGUUCAACUUUGAUAAAGACAACAUAGUAUUAAUCGGCCAUUCGGCAGGUGCUCAUUUGUGCACAUUGGCCGCGCUGUUUCUCAUUGACGGACGAGAGGAGCUUUUCAUAGAGGCAAGCAAGCAGGCGGACGUCACAGAGGCCAUAAGAGGAGUCAUUGGUCUGAGUGGCGUGUACAACAUCGUGGACCAUUACGAGCACGAGCAGAAGCGGGGAGUCGAGUACGUCUCCACCAUGCACAAAGCCAUGAAUGGAGUGGAGAACUUCCCGUACUACUCGCCGACACACUUACUGAAGAGGCUGAGCCGGGACAAGCUGGACAGAAUCCCUCCGUUUGCUCUGCUCCACGGGACCGACGACAUCAUCGUCCCCUUCGAUUCCUCCGCAAAGUUCUGCGACCUCCUCACCUCGCUGUCCGUGAAGGUGUCGCUCUACCUGCUCCCCCGCGUCGACCACACCGAGAUCGUCACCGACCUCAUGGUGCCCGACCGCCGCUUCUACCACCCCAUCUACAGCUGCAUCAAGCAGGAGCACAGGAAGCUGCUGGGGGCCUGGUGACGACCCGUCAGGAGAACACCCACCACUCGUCCAUCCAUCACUCGUAUUUACUGAUUGUGCCAUAUACUUGCUUUGUUUACGUCCCAUGCUCUAAUACCUCAACAUGAAUCGUGUUUAGCAUGGAUUUUUACUUGAUUGUGAUUCCGUGAUCAUGAUGUUUUUGAACAGAUUUUAAUUUGGUAAAUCUAAG